rnacentral:rRNA from 1 species
AUUGAACGCUGGCGGCAGGCCUAACACAUGCAAGUCGAACGAGUGGCGGACGGGUGAGUAAUGUCUGGGAAACUGCCUGAUGGAGGGGGAUAACUACUGGCAACGGUAGCUCAUACCGCAUACCAUCAGAUGUGCCCAUAUGGGAUUAGCUAGUAGGUGGGGUAACGGCUCACCUAGGCGACGAUCCCUAGCUGGUCUGAGAGGAUGACCAGCCACACUGGAACUGAGAAACGGUCCAGACUCCGACGGGAGGCAGCAGUGGGGAAUAUUGCACAAUGGGCGCAAGCCUGAUGCAGCCAUGCCGCGUGUGUGAAGAAGGCCUGCGGGUUGUAAAGCACUUGAAGCGGGGAGGCGUUACCCGAAGAAGAAGCAACGGCUAACUCCGUGCCAGCAGCCGCGGUAAUAC